rnacentral:rRNA from 1 species
GACGAACGCUGGCGGCGUGCCUAAUACAUGCAAGUUGAGCGAUGAAGAUUGGUGCUUGCACCAAUUUGAAGAGCAGCGAACGGGUGAGUAACGCGUGGGGAAUCUGCCUUUGAGCGGGGGACAACAUUUGGAAACGAAUGCUAAUACCGCAUAACAACUUUAAACAUAAGUUUUAAGUUUGAAAGAUGCAAUUGCAUCACUCAAAGAUGAUCCCGCGUUGUAUUAGCUAGUUGGUGAGGUAAAGGCUCACCAAGGCGAUGAUACAUAGCCGACCUGAGAGGGUGAUCGGCCACAUUGGGACGGGGACACGGCCCAAACUCCUACGGGAGGCAGCAGUAGGGAAUCUUCGGCAAUGGACGAAAGUCUGACCGAGCAACGCCGCGGGAGUGAAGAAGGUUUUCGGAUCGUAAAACUCGGUUGGUAGAGAAGAACGUUGGUGAGAGUGGAAAGCUCAUCAAGUGACGGUAACUACCCAGAAAGGGACGGCUAACUACGUG